CUUGCCGUCGCUACGCGCGUACCGUCCUUGCUUGAUUGCGUUUCACAAAGACGCUCCACUGGCAGCCAUUAUUCUUCUUUCGGCUGCGGUACUGGUGCAAUCGUAAUAUGUCGUGCUCUGUGUUAUUAUACCAAGUAAUAAUGAAAAGUGUUGCUGCUUCUAGCUUACUAACGUUGUGCUUUUCACAGCGACAGCAUCUGAACAAGCUCGUAACGCAUCACAGUGACUAAAUCGUGAUAAGUGACAGUACCUAUCCAAAGCGCUAUGCAAUUUUAGCGUAUAACACGCUGAAAUCAACAUUGCUGAUCAACAGGUAGCGCUGGUUCAUUGUUUCUUUUAGUGGCUUUGUAUAAAAUUUUUCCUUUUACAACUUAAAGAACAUUAGGCAGAAGUUCAGUAUGGUGACAACGCCUUACAGGGGAAUGACAUAUAUAGUUAUGAAGAGUGAGUCGAGGGGAGUAAAAAUCCGAAAUAAUUAUUUUGAGGAAAUGAACGGUGCUACUACUACUACAUCGGGAUCCUACCUAUAUGUGUACGUCCCUGGCAGCGCAUGGCCGCUUAUUUACUGCUUUCGCUCGUACACGCUGGCGGCCGGUUCAAAUUUUUUAAACGCACAAAUUUCUUAGUUAUUAAAUUAGUACACUAACCAAACCAUAAUUAUUCUUAACUAUCACAGAGUAUUUUUUAAUUAUCUAUAACACAAUUAUUUACACUAGAUCACAGUUAUUAUUACAGUAUUAUUCACUAUUGGAAUCAUUGUCAGUGUUAUUUAAAUUCAAUGUUGGAUACACCUUUUUAAUAUCGGUAAUUAUUGAGAUUAGGUUACACCUCACCGAUUUUGAUGAAAUUUAAAUAUAUUGUAAAACUCAA